AUCUCUUCACGGACGGCGCCAUCCGCUCAUUCUCCUCUACACUGCAAGCUCUGCUCUUCUCUUCUUCCUUUUCAGUAGAUGCUCACGCCUCCCCCGCUAGUGACUGGUUGUGCCGACCGGCCAUGGCUGCCCCCACCCCCGCACCCCUCACACCCCACCAGCGACAAGUGCUGCCCCCACCCCCGCCCCCUCACAUCUCACCAGCGACAAGUGUUGCAAACCAACACCCACAGGUGCCGUCGAUGGCGGCGGCAAGUGAUGGAGACGCGCGGCGGCCGGCAUUGGGGCGUUGCAACCACGGCGACAAGUGAUGGAGAUCCGGCCUUUUGUUUUUGGAAGCAGGCCCAAUUUUUGCUGCUAACACCUUCGUUUUUUUGCUGGAACAGUCUUUUUUUUUGCUACCAUGUGUUUUGCUUUUUGCCGGAACCAACUUCAAGCCGGCAUGGGGAAAAAGCUUCCACCCUAGGGAGAAAAAGCUUCAACCGGCUGGAAGAAAAGCUUCAAGUGCCAUGAGGAAAAAGCUUCCAUCGUAGGAAAAAAGCUUCAUUGGUGGAAAAAGCUUCAACCCGUAAUUUAAUUUGCUGGAAGAGUACCUGGAUGAGAACAAGCAGCUGAUCCUGGCCAUCCUCGACAACCAGAACAACGGCAAGGUGGAAGAGUGCGCACGGAACCAAGCUAAGCUUCAACAGAACCUUAUGUAACUCGUCGCCAUCGCCAACAGCCAGCCGCCGCAGACGGCGUUGCUGUCUCAGGUGGGUUGUGCGGGUUGAUUAGGGCUAAAGGCAGGGGGCAAACUGCAAAAUACGCGGCGCUGACCGGCCCAGCCCAGCUGGCUCAACUUGGCGAGCUGUGAUUCGCCCAGGACCAAAUUUGCACUUCCAUGACAAGUUCAAGGACCAAAUAAUCACCUUUUUCAAGUUUGAGGACCAAACCAUCACCUUUAUGACAAGUUCAGGGACCUGCAGUGUUAUUACCUCUUGCUGGAACUCAUUGAUGUUUUUGCUAGAACCAAUUUUCUUCAUGAGGCGCGGCGGCGAGCCACUUUUUUAUUUUUGCUGCAUUUGUGUUUUUUUGCUGGAACCAUCAACCGGUUUUGCUACAA